rnacentral:rRNA from 1 species
AUUGAACGCUGGCGGCAUGCCUUACACAUGCAAGUCGAACGGUAACGGGCCUUCGGGUGCCGACGAGUGGCGAACGGGUGAGUAAUACAUCGGAACGUGCCCGAUCGUGGGGGAUAACGAGGCGAAAGCUUUGCUAAUACCGCAUACGAUCUACGGAUGAAAGCAGGGGACCGCAAGGCCUUGCGCGGACGGAGCGGCCGAUGGCAGAUUAGGUAGUUGGUGGGAUAAAAGCUUACCAAGCCGACGAUCUGUAGCUGGUCUGAGAGGAUGAUCAGCCACACUGGGACUGAGACACGGCCCAGACCCCUACGGGAGGCAGCAGUGGGAAUUUUGGGAAAAGGGGCGAAAGCCUGAUCCAGCCAGGCCGCGUGCAGGAUGAGGGCCUUCGGGUUGUAAACUGCUUUUGUACGGAACAAAAAGCCUUCUUUUAAAACAGGAGGGUAAGGACGGGACCGAAAAAAAAAGCACCGGCUAAUUACGG